rnacentral:rRNA from 1 species
UACGAAGGGGGCUAGCGUUGCUCGGAAUCACUGGGCGUAAAGCGCACGUAGGCGGAUCGUUAAGUCAGGGGUGAAAUCCUGGAGCUCAACUCCAGAACUGCCUUUGAUACUGGCGAUCUUGAGUUCGGGAGAGGUGAGUGGAACUGCGAGUGUAGAGGUGAAUUCGUAGAUAUUCGCAAGAACACCAGUGGCGAAGGCGGCUCACUGGCCCGAUACUGACGCUGAGGAGCGA